rnacentral:lncRNA from 1 species
UCAUAUAAAGAUACAAGAAGAAGAUGGCUGUCUGCAAAUCAGGAAGACUGACCUCACCAGACAUUGGAUCUGCUGGUUGUACCUGGAUCUUGAACUUCCCAACCUUCAUAUAUGUGGAGCCUAUGUCAUUUGGUGUGGCCCUACUCAAGUGCUACAUCACUCAGAGGACUUCAACACCCCAGCAUUCAAAUGUAAUGUUGGAGAGGUCCUUGGCCGGCUGGACCCCACUUUGGCCGACUCGUCACACCCACCUGCAACCAGCGAGAUGGUGAGGACCACUCAGCAAGCCCACCAGCCACCAGCUUAGUGCUUGGGCUCCUGGAAACCACCCCCCACCCCUGGCCUCCUGGUUGUGUCGCUACCUGGUUCCACACUACAGAGGCACAGGGGGCAUAAGGGCCAUUGUCCUGAGCUGCAGAAGUGAACAACAGAUAGAGGGCCUCUCUCAGGCUCCUUCAUGAAAACUAAAGCUGACUGUAAAAGUGAAGAGAAUCUUGGAAAUAAAGGCACACCAGACCACCGUACUUGAAUUUGUACAUCUCUAGAACAAUACUUAACAGAACUCAGACUUUCAGCCUCCAUUCACAGCCUCUAAAAUCUCUGCUGGAAAUUUUUUUGAUGCUUUUAUCUAGUGACCUGAUCCAAACUAGACUUUCUUCCUUCAAAGAUCCAGAUUGUGCCAGUGGAGGUGAAGCUGAGGAUGCAACCCAGGGAAGAAGGUACAUAAAGGCUGAAUUUGCUCAAAGGGAAUUCAUCACCUUGGGACCACCUGAUUAGUCCUGCCAUUCUGAUGAUCAUACUGACAACCUGAU